rnacentral:rRNA from 1 species
UACGGAGGGUGCAAGCGUUAUCCGGAUUCACUGGGUUUAAAGGGUGCGUAGGUGGGUCUGUAAGUCAGUGGUGAAAUCUCCGUGCUUAACAUGGAAACUGCCAUUGAUACUAUAGGUCUUGAAUUUUCUGGAGGUAAGCGGAAUAUGUCAUGUAGCGGUGAAAUGCUUAGAUAUGACAUAGAACACCAAUUGCGAAGGCAGCUUGCUACAGGAAUAUUGACACUGAGGCACGAAAGCGUGGGGAUCAAACAGG